AUGAACGCUGGCGGCGUGCCUAAUCCAUGCAAGUCGAGCGAACAGACGAGGAGCUUGCUCCUCUGACGUUAGCGGCGGACGGGUGAGUAACACGUGGAUAACCUACCUAUAAGACUGGGAUAACUUCGGGAAACCGGAGCUAAUACCGGAUAAUAUAUUGAACCGCAUGGUUCAAUAGUGAAAGACGGUUUUGCUGUCACUUAUAGAUGGAUCCGCGCCGCAUUAGCUAGUUGGUAAGGUAACGGCUUACCAAGGCAACGAUGCGUAGCCGACCUGAGAGGGUGAUCGGCCACACUGGAACUGAGACACGGUCCAGACUCCUACGGGAGGCAGCAGUAGGGAAUCUUCCGCAAUGGGCGAAAGCCUGACGGAGCAACGCCGCGUGAGUGAUGAAGGUCUUCGGAUCGUAAAACUCUGUUAUUAGGGAAGAACAAAUGUGUAAGUAACUAUGCACGUCUUGACGGCACCUAAUCAGAAAGCCACGGCUAACUACGUG
rnacentral:rRNA from 1 species